rnacentral:lncRNA from 1 species
GAUAAAAGAAAUUGAGAAGCGGAUGAUGGAGGAAGCACACUUGGAUUAUAUCUACACCCAACCCCUGAGUCCACCUGCGAAAUAAAUCAAAUUGCAUGCUUGCUUAGGAUUAUCAAGAACAUGAGAGCCUAGCUAUAUAUAAUGUGAAUGUAAUAAAGUUGAGAAAUAAAAAUAAAUUUGGGCAUUUCCAUUGUUAAGGUUGUGCUUUGACUGUGGUUGCUAUGCCUAAAGAAAAUAAGGAAUUAUUGAUAGUCACAGUUAGAAAAUAUUUGGAUUGUUACUACUGUUUAUUAUUGUGUUUAAUAUACAUGAUGAUUUAAUAUUUUUAAGUUAGAUGUGAUGUUUUUUUAUUUUGUAUUUUUUCACUUAGUUUUAUUCAAAAUUUUUAUUUAGCAUA